rnacentral:tRNA from 1 species
AGUAAAUUGCCUGAUAAAAGGAUUACCUUGAUAGGGUAAAUUAUGAGAUAAUAUUUCAUUUACUA